rnacentral:rRNA from 1 species
AUUGAACGCUGGCGGCAGGCCUAACACAUGCAAGUCGAGCGGAUGAAGGGAGCUUGCUCCUGGAUUCAGCGGCGGACGGGUGAGUAAUGCCUAGGAAUCUGCCUGGUAGUGGGGGAUAACGUCCGGAAACGGGCGCUAAUACCGCAUACGUCCUGAGGGAGAAAGUGGGGGAUCUUCGGACCUCACGCUAUCAGAUGAGCCUAGGUCGGAUUAGCUAGUUGGUGGGGUAAAGGCCUACCAAGGCGACGAUCCGUAGCUGGUCUGAGAGGAUGAUCAGUCACACUGGAACUGAGACACGGUCCAGACUCCUACGGGAGGCAGCAGUGGGGAAUAUUGGACAAUGGGCGAAAGCCUGAUCCAGCCAUGCCGCGUGUGUGAAGAAGGUCUUCGGAUUGUAAAGCACUUUAAGUUGGGAGGAAGGGCAGUAAGUUAAUACCUUGCUGUUUUGACGGUACCAACAGAAUAAGCACCGGCUAACUUCGUG